CUUAUCAUGAGCUUCUGUCAUCGAGUGAGCGCCAUCUUUUUUAUUGUCGAAGAUCCAUUUAUGUAAUUUUUCUGCAACUAUCGGUACUCCAGUUGUCCUACACGUCAUUGUGCAUCAUUAUAGUUAUAGUUUUUUUCAUCAAAUAGCAAGGGAUACUCAUGAAAGAACAAUUAAAUAUAAUGACCAGAAAUGAAACAGCUAUUUCAUGUAAUGAACGUGUAUGAUUAUGAAGAUUACCAUUAUAAAACAGCCAACAUGUAAUAUUUAAUUACACAACCAAUAUAUCCAAAGGAAGUUAAGAUUCGCAGAAACAGAAUACCAUAUCACAGAAUGAAUAACAUCAUAGCAUUACUGAGACAUCAACAUAUAACAACCCAUUAAAUUCAGAGAGUUAUUUAUUUAUUCAGCUGGUUUAACCCACAGUGCACCGUGGAACUUAGAUUCUAGCAAUAACCAAAUCACACAACUAAAAAUUCAUCUCCGUGAAAUCUGAAAAAAGAGAAAAUUGUAACGACGACGCAAAAGAUGAUUCCAUUUUUCUUCAGCUACACUAACCCCACUAUAAAAUAUGUUCACAGUGUAGAAACCAGAAACUAAGGAGACUACCUUGUAUUCGAAGAGAAAGAGUCACAGUUCUUUUGCAACCAUCUUCAAUCUCUCAUGACCGUACCAGUCCCAACUUUUCACGUGGACUUCAUGGUAAAUAAAACACAAUUAAUCAGCUUCUGGAAAUGUUCCCAACCCCAAAUUUUCAGUUUCAAUUUACACGACUUGAAAAGAAAGAAAUACAUAAGACUUCUUCUCUCCGUUUCUAGAUCCAAAGAGAGUCAAAGAAACUUGUUGGCAACCCAAACACUCUGAAGAUGAAAUUUGAGAGCGGAAGAGAAACCCAAUUUCAGAAAUUUAAUGAUCUGUUGCCACCGGGACUUGGAUGAGUGUGCAACCCAAGGAAAAGAUCAAAUUAGCGACAGCAAAAGUGUACUGGCUUUAGGGUUAACGGUUACCGCCAGAAGUACGCUACACAUGCUCAUCAAAGCGCAGGUGUUGCAGAGCUACACACCGCUAAAAGCAAGAGCAGG
rnacentral:lncRNA from 1 species